GAUGAACGCUAGCGGGAGGCUUAACACAUGCAAGUCGAGGGGCAUCACAGGUAGCAAUACUGGGUGGCGACCGGCGCACGGGUGAGUAACGCGUAUGCAACCUACCCUGUACAGGGGGAUAGCCCGGAGAAAUUCGGAUUAAUACCCCAUAAUGAUAUUUAGAGGCAUCUUUAGAUAUUUAAAGUUUCGACGGUACAGGAUGGGCAUGCGUGACAUUAGCUAGUUGGUAAGGUAACGGCUUACCAAGGCUACGAUGUCUAGGGGUCCUGAGAGGGUGAUCCCCCACACUGGUACUGAGACACGGACCAGACUCCUACGGGUGGCUG
rnacentral:rRNA from 1 species